GGGGACAUGGUGUAGUGGUAUCACGUCUCGUUCGCAACGAGUAGGUCGCGAGUUCGAACCUCGCUGUUUCCA